rnacentral:rRNA from 1 species
UACAGAGGGGGCAAGCGUUGUUCGGAAUUACUGGGCGUAAAGGGCGCGUAGGCGGUCUGUUAAGUCGAACGUGAAAUCCCCGGGCUCAACCCGGGAACUGCGUCCGAUACUGGCAGGCUUGAAUUCGGGAGAGGGAUGUGGAAUUCCAGGUGUAGCGGUGAAAUGCGUAGAUAUCUGGAGGAACACCGGUGGCGAGGGCGGCAUCCUGGACCGAUAUUGACGCUGAUGCGCGAAAGCCAGGGGAGCAAACGGG